AGCGAACGCUGGCGGCAGGCUUAACACAUGCAAGUCGAGCGGGCGUAGCAAUACGUCAGCGGCAGACGGGUGCGUAACGCGUGGGAACGUACCUUUUGGUUCGGAACAACACAGGGAAACUUGUGCUAAUACCGGAUAAGCCCUUACGGGGAAAGAUUUAUCGCCGAAAGAUCGGCCCGCGUCUGAUUAGCUAGUUGGUGAGGUAACGGCUCACCAAGGCGACGAUCAGUAGCUGGUCUGAGAGGAUGAUCAGCCACAUUGGGACUGAGACACGGCCCAAACUCCUACGGGAGGCAGCAGUGGGGAAUAUUGGACAAUGGGGGCAACCCUGAUCCAGCCAUGCCGCGUGAGUGAUGAAGGCCCUAGGGUUGUAAAGCUCUUUUGUGCGGGAAGAUAAUGACGGUACCGCAAGAAUAAGCCCCGGCUAACUUCGU
rnacentral:rRNA from 1 species